GUAUCUUCUGAAGGCAUAUUUGUUGUUUGGAGAUGAAGAGUAUUUGUUCAUUUUCCAAGAAGCAUAUAGUGCUGCUAUGCACUAUCUUUACAAUGACCCUUGGUAUGUAGAGGUCAAUAUGGAUUCUGCUGCUAUUGUCUGGCCGUUAUUUAACAGUUA